UACGGGGGGGGCAAGCGUUGUUCGGAAUUACUGGGCGUAAAGGGCUCGUAGGUGGCUAACUAAGUCAGACGUGAAAUCCCUCGGCUUAACCGGGGAACUGCGUCUGAUACUGGAUGGCUAGAGUUUGGGAGAGGGAUGCGGAAUUCCAGGUGUAGCGGUGAAAUGCGUAGAUAUCUGGAGGAACACCGGUGGCGAAGGCGGCAUCCUGGACCAACACUGACGCUGAGGAGCGAAAGCCAGGGGAGCAAACGGG
rnacentral:rRNA from 1 species